rnacentral:rRNA from 1 species
CCUACGUGGGGCAGCAGUGAGGAAUAUUGGUCAAUGGACGAGAGUCUGAACCAGCAAAGUAGCGUGAAGGAUGACUGCCCUAUGGGUUGUAAACUUCUUUUAUAAAGGAAUAAAACGAGGCACGUGUGCCUGUUUGCAUGUACUUUAUGAAUAAGGAUCGGCUAACUCCGUGCCAGCAGCCGCGGUAAUACGGAGGAUCCGAUCGUUAUCCGGAUUUAUUGGGCUUAAAGGGAGCGUAGAUGGGUUGUUAAGUCAGUUGUGAAAGUUUGCGGCUCAACCGUAAAAUUGCAAUUGAUACUGGCAGUCUUGAGUACAGUUGAGGUAGGCGGAAUUCGUGGUGUAGCGGUGAAAUGCUUAGAUAUCACGAAGAACACCGAUUGCGAAGGCAGCUUACUAAACUGUGACUGACAUUGAGGCUCGAAAGUGUGGGUAUCAAACAGGAUUAGAUACCCCAGUAGUC